rnacentral:tRNA from 1 species
GCCUGGGUGGCUCAGUCGGUUGAGCGACUGACUUCGGCUCAGGUCAGGAUCUCACAGUUCGCUGGUUCAAGCCCCGCGUCAGGCU